CCGGGCUUUCGACAACCGCCCGGUAAGCUGUCGCGUUCAGCCAAGCGUUGU
rnacentral:ncRNA from 1 species